rnacentral:snRNA from 1 species
CUCAGGUUUACACUGCUAGAUCAA